AGGACGAACGCUGGCGGCGUGCUUAACACAUGCAAGUCGAACGCUGAAGCUUGGGUGUUUUCAUCUGGGUGGAUGAGUGGCGAACGGGUGAGUAAUACGUGAGUAACCUGCCCUUGACUCUGGGAUAAGCCUGGGAAACUGGGUCUAAUACUGGAUACUACGUGCCCUCGCAUGGGGGUGUGUGGAAAGGGUUUUACUGGUUUUUGGAUGGGCUCACGGCCUAUCAGCUUGUUGGUGGGGUAAUGGCCUACCAAGGCGACGACGGGUAGCCGGCCUGAGAGGGUGACCGGCCACACUGGGACUGAGACACGGCCCAGACUCCUACGGGAGGCAGCAGUGGGGAAUAUUGCACAAUGGGCGAAAGCCUGAUGCAGCCGACGCCGCGUGAGGGAUGACGGCCUUCGGGUUGUAAACCUCUUUCAGCACGGAAGAAGCGAAAGUGACGGUACGUGCAGAAGAAGCGCCGGCUAACUACGUGCCAGCAGCCGC
rnacentral:rRNA from 1 species